rnacentral:tRNA from 1 species
UGAUAAUUAGUUUAAAUCAAAACAAGUGAUUUCGACUCACUAAAUUAUG